UACGGAGGAUGCGAGCGUUAUCCGGAUUUAUUGGGUUUAAAGGGUGCGUAGGCGGGCUUUUAAGUCAGCGGUAAAAAUUCGGGGCUCAACCCCGUCCGGCCGUUGAAACUGGGGGUCUUGAGUGGGCGAGAAGAAGGCGGAAUGCGUGGUGUAGCGGUGAAAUGCAUAGAUAUCACGCAGAACUCCGAUUGCGAAGGCGGCAUACCGGCGCCCUACUGACGCUGAGGCACGAAAGCGUGGGUAUCGAACAGG
rnacentral:rRNA from 1 species